rnacentral:rRNA from 1 species
GAUGAACGCUGGCGGCGUGCCUAAUACAUGCAAGUCGAGCGAACGGACGAGAAGCUUGCUUCUCUGAUGUUAGCGGCGGACGGGUGAGUAACACGUGGAUAACCUACCUAUAAGACUGGGAUAACUUCGGGAAACCGGAGCUAAUACCGGAUAAUAUUAUGAACCGCAUGGUUCAAAAGUGAAAGACGGUCUUGCUGUCACUUAUAGAUGGAUCCGCGCUGCAUUAGCUAGUUGGUAAGGUAACGGCUUACCAAGGCAACGAUGCAUAGCCGACCUGAGAGGGUGAUCGGCCACACUGGAACUGAGACACGGUCCAGACUCCUACGGGAGGCAGCAGUAGGGAAUCUUCCGCAAUGGGCGAAAGCCUGACGGAGCAACGCCGCGUGAGUGAUGAAGGUCUUCGGAUCGUAAAACUCUGUUAUUAGGGAAGAACAUAUGUGUAAGUAACUGUGCACAUCUUGACGGUACCUAAGCAGAAAGCCACGGCUAACUACGUG